AAGCGCGUAGCAGGGAGCAGUGAGCAGGGAGAGUUGCGGUCGGUCCAACAGUACAAUAAUUUAGACAGUGCAACAGUACGACAGUAUGUUAACAGUUGGAAGUCGAAGAACCGCUCCAUGUUAGAGUUUGCUGCUGCAGUGGUGUUCUGGACGGGCCAUUUGGGAGUGUCUUCACCUCUGCGGCCUGCACUAUGCAUGAACACAAACACGCAGCGACUGUGCAGUUGUGGAAGCGGCAUGUGAAACAAGCCUCCACCACCAGCAGCACCAUGAUGAGGCCUUGGUGAUUCAACAAGACACAAACAAUCCUUUCAAAUGCCAAGCAGAAAAUAAGCAGCUAUAAAGAUACAAGCGGCUCUUCUUCUUGCCAAAAACACUGACUCUGGUUUGUUCCCUCACUGCUGUCUGGAUCUUACAAGCCAAAACAAAUGAGAACCAUGUCCUAAAAAAAUGUGCAUUGCUAAACGAUGAUCAGUGUAAUUCUUCAUGCCUAUCUGUUUGAAAACCAGCAUCCACUGCAAUUUAUCAUUUUCAGUGUGUGUGUAGAUGUGGGUCUGUGUGU